rnacentral:rRNA from 1 species
GAUGAACGCUGGCGGCGUGCCUAAUACAUGCAAGUCGAGCGAACGGACGAGAAGCUUGCUUCUCUGAUGUUAGCGGCGGACGGGUGAGUGACACGUGGAUAACCUACCUAUAAGACUGGGAUAACUUCGGGAAACCGGAGCUAAUACCGGAUAAUAUUUUGAACCGCAUGGUUCAAAAGUGAAAGACGGUCUUGCUGUCACUUAUAGAUGGAUCCGCGCUGCAUUAGCUAGUUGGUAAGGUAACGGCUUACCAAGGCAACGAUGCAUAGCCGACCUGAGAGGGUGAUCGGCCACACGGGAACUGAGACACGGUCCAGACUCCUACGGGAGGCAGCAGUAGGGAAUCGUCCGCAAUGGGCGAAAGCCUGACGGAGCAACGCCGCGUGAGUGAUGAAGGUCUUCGGAUCGUAAAACUCUGUUAUGAGGGAAGGACAUAUGUGUAAGUAACUGUGCACAUCUUGACGGUACCUAAUCAGAAAGCCACGGCUAACUACGUG